AGUGAACGCUGGCGGUAGGCCUAACACAUGCAAGUCGAACGGCAGCACAGUAAGAGCUUGCUCUUACGGGUGGCGAGUGGCGGACGGGUGAGGUAUACAUCGGAAUCUACUUUUUCGUGGGGGAUAAGGUAGGGAAACUUACGCUAAUACCGCAUACGACCUACGGGUGAAAGCAGGGGAUCUUCGGACCUUGCGCGAUUGAAUGAGCCGAUGUUGGAUUAGCUAGUUGGCGGGGUAAAGGCCAACCAAGGCGACGAUCCGUAGCUGGUCUGAGAGGAUGAUCAGCCACACUGGAACUGGGACACGGUCCAGACGCCUACGGGAGGCAGCAGUGGGGAAUAUUGGACAAUGGGCGCAAGCCUGAUCCAGCCAUACCGCGUGGGUGAAGAAGGCCUUCGGGUUGUAAAGCCCUUUUGUUGGGAAAGAAAAGCAGCAGGUUAAUACCCCGCGGUUCUGACGGUACCCAAAGAAUAAGCACCGGCUAACUUCGUG
rnacentral:rRNA from 1 species